rnacentral:rRNA from 1 species
UUGUCGUCAGCUCGUGUCGUGAGAUGUUGGGUUAAGUCCCGCAACGAGCGCAACCCCUAUUGUUAGUUGCCAUCAUUCAGUUGGGCACUCUAGCGAGACUGCCGGUAAUAAACCGGAGGAAGGUGGGGAUGACGUCAAAUCAUCAUGCCCCUUAUGACCUGGGCUACACACGUGCUACAAUGGUUGGUACAACGAGUUGCGAGUCGGUGACGGCGAGCUAAUCUCUUAAAGCCAAUCUCAGUUCGGAUUGUAGGCUGCAACUCGCCUACAUGAAGUCGGAAUCGCUAGUAAUCGCGGAUCAGCACGCCGCGGUGAAUACGUUCCCGGGCCUU